AGAAGGAGACGCAGGGAGCUCGACGGCCACCCCUAGGUUCGAUUCGGCCCCGCUUCCUACUCCUCUACCCAUCUCCUUCCCCGCUCCCUCCUCCUGUUCCCAUCGCCGUCCUCGCGCAUCUCCAACGGCCACCACGAGGACCUCGCUAGCGAGCACCAGCAGGACCGCAGCGGCGUAGGCGCCAGUUACCUGGUCCGCUUCUGCCCCGUUCCAUCCUCCUCACCCUAUCCCUGUCCCCAGUCUAAGUCGCAUCUCGUCGGCGUCCAUAUGGGCCACGGCGACCACCAGCAGGGCUCCAACGACGGAGGCGCAGGUCUCCUCUGGCCAUGGGUGCUCCGUCUCGGGCCUUCUCUCUGUCCGCCGCACCCACCCCCUGUACCCAUCUCCUAUCCUACACCAGCCCAUGGCGCCCAACCACUGUCUUGUACCUGUAACUUGGUUCAUGUGAGGACCUUUCCGUUCUCUAUUAUUAACCAUUUUUUGUUUAUGUAUUGUGCAGAUUUGUGAACUGUUCGUCGAUCCGCGGGCCGAAUGAAGGUAUAUGGCUGAAAUCCCCUAUGUUUGCUAUGCAUUUGUGCAUGUGAUGUCUUGCUGCAAUGUUUUACAUCUAGAUAAUAACUGAAUUGUACAACCCAAUGUUGGAUCAAUUGGAGUUUGUUGAGAUGCUAAGUGAAGAAAAUAAAAGACGGAAGAGGAAAAGAAUUGUUCUGACUAAAUUGUUUGUUGAAACAUGUGCUCUUGCAUUAGCAUUUGUUACUACACAAAGGAAUAGGGGACCAAUGGACCUAGGAACUUUUAAUGAUGAUGAGGACAAGAUUAGGAAUAGGAAAUAUUUGCUUAAAUGCAUGUAUGAUGGAUCAGUAGUGGCAUGCUAUGACCAAUUGUGUUUAACUAAACGAAACUUUCAUGACCUUUGCACCAUGUUACGGGAGAGAUGUGGCCUUUGUGAUAGUGUAUAUGUGACCGUGGAAGAGAAAGUUCCAGUGUUCUUGCUUGUAGUUGAUCAUAGUAUUAAGAUGAGGAUGUUGUGUGGCACCUACAAGCGUUCUUUAUGGACCAUUAGCACACACUUCUCUGCUGUCCUAAACACCCUACUCUCUCUGCAUGGGGAGUUCAUUAAGCUACCUUGAUCUACCAUUCAAGCUCCUGAUGAUUACAAAUGGAAGUGGUUUGGUAAUACACUUGGACCACUAGAUGGUUGUCAUAUUGACGUGCUUGUUGAUGUGGCUGGCCAAGGAAGGUAUAGGAACAGAAAGCAAGCCAUUACCACUAACAUGCUAGGUGUUGUUGAUUAGAACAUGAAGUUUCCUUAUGUGUUACCUGGCUGGGAGGGUUCAAUUUCAGAUUCGAGAGUUUUGCGUGAUGCAAUGAGGGCGAACCGCCAGGAUGCUUUUGUUGUGCCUAAGGGGAAAUAUUAUUUAGUUGAUGUUGGUUAUACCAAUGGAGAAGGAUUUCUAGCUCCAUUCAGGUCCACUCGGUAUCAUCUAAAAGAAUGGGCUACAAGGAGGAGGAAUUACUGCGCAUGGGAUGAUGAGAUGGAUGAUGCUUUGCUUGAAGUCUUUGUUGAGAAUCACAACAAGGGUGACCAUGCCCAAAAUGGAUGGAAACCACAUGUGUACACCAUGCCAUAAGGCAUGUGAAGGACAAGUGCAAUAAGGAUUUCACAAAGGAUAACAUAAGCGGAAUGAUGAGGACUUUGGAUCAUCACUAUGAGGUCGUUAGCAAGAUCCUUUCUCAAAGUAAUUUUUGGCUGGGAUUGGACCAAUAAUAGGCUAUCAAUGGAUAGUGAUGAUGUUUGGGAUAAAUAUGUGGAGGCUAACAAGGCAUGCAAGGAGAUAAAGUCUUGCAAGAGCAAAGUAAUUAAGAACUGGGAGUCCAUAUGUAUCAUAUAUUCAAAAGAUCAUGCUAAUGGUGAGGGUGCGAAGACAUGUGCUGAGAUUGCUGUAGAGCCAUUAGAAGAACCAAUUGAAGUCUCUCUAGAAGUAGCGUUAAAGAGGCAGCGAAUAGGUGAUGCUAUUCUUUGCAUGCUUGGAGAUAUGAAGGACUUAGUUGGUGCUUUCAAGAAAACUGAGCCCAUUCCACUACCAAAGGUUACCACACCCACUGAAAUACUUGAUGCACUUAGGUUGAUACCUGAUUUAGCUGAGCAAGAUAUGCUUUGAUGUUAUGGGAAGUUGGUACUCAAUGAUCGCCUGUUUCAAGCUCUGAAGGAGCUGCCCAUCACCAUGAGGAAGACAUGGUUGCUAAUGUUGCCUUGAAUAUCGAUGCUUUUAUGUGUUGUUGAACUUCCAACCAUCUAUUUUAUGUCCUGUUGAACUUGGAACUAUGUAUGUACUGCCUUGUUGAACUUGGAAGUAUGUAUGUACUGCCACACACUGUUUAUGUCAAGCAUUUGGACCUAUCUUUUAAAUCGUUGUGAUUUAUGUCAUGUACGAGACCAUAUUUGAGAGUACGUGUUAUUUGUUAUUGUUUCAAA